AGCGCAUGCAUACCGGGCGCCUAGCCGCGGCAGCUUCAGCGAGGGACUGAGCCGCCCAGCCGCGAGGUCCAUAGAGACUUCCUGGGGUGAUGACCUUGAGCAGAGACCAAGAGGAAAUACAGAAGAGAGCUACAAUAUCUGGGGACAAGAGAAGGGGCAGCAAGUGCAAAGGCCCUGAGGCAGGAAGAACUGGGACCCUUUGAAAGACAACAAAGAGACCGAUGUGGGUAGAACCAUGUGAAUAAAGAAAAGGAGAACAAAGGACACAUCAUGUGGGAAUGUGCCCUGGAAAUUCAAGGACAGCCUAAACUGUACAGUGAGACCCUGUCUCAAAGAAAGAAAGCUGUGAAGACACCAAGCCCAUCUUCCUGAAUGGAUGAAAUAAACAGCAACUGGUGGCAAUUACGGACGCAAGACACGGAACAAUUUUGCUUACUUGAGUGACGGACCCUCCAACAGCAGCCACACACGUGUGCCUGGUCAUUGUGCAAGUCAUUAACACAUGCCCUUGUGGUGGUGUUGGGUUUUGUUUUGUUUUGUUGAUGGCAUUAGAGAUGGAAGCCAGGGCCUCACACAUGCUGGACAAGUACUGAGCCACACCGCAGCCCUUCAUUUUGUUUUGUUUUUUCUCUCUCUUUUUUUUUGGUACCAGAGAUCAAACUCAGGUCCUUAUGCCUGCACAGUAGGGGGCAAAACCACUGAGCUAAAUCCCCAGCCCUCUCUCUCUUUUUUUUGAGACAGGGUCUUGCUAUGUAGUCCAGGCAGGCCUGGAACUCACAGCCAUCCUCCUGCCUCAGUGCGGGGAUGACAGGUGUGUGUCACCACACUCAGCUGAAGAUAUCAUUAUUACCCCAUUUUCCAGGUGAGUAAACUGAGGCACAGAG
rnacentral:lncRNA from 1 species